CCUGCGGAAGGAUCAUCA
rnacentral:rRNA from 1 species